AUUGAACGCUGGCGGCAGGCCUAACACAUGCAAGUCGAACGAGUGGCGGACGGGUGAGUAAUGUCUGGGAAACUGCCUGAUGGAGGGGGAUAACUACUGGAAACGGUAGCUAAUACCGCAUACCAUCAGAUGUGCCCAGAUGGGAUUGGCUUGUUGGUGGGGUAACGGCUCACAAAGGCGACGAUCCCUAGCUGGUCUGAGGGGGUGACCAGCAACACUGGAACUGAGACAUGGUCAAGAUGCCAACGGGAGGAAGCAGUGGGGAAUAUGGGGCAAUGGGCGAAAGCCUGAUGCAGCCAUGCCGCGUGUAGGAGGAAGGCUUUCGGGUUGUAAAGUACUUUCAGCGGGGAGGCGUUACCCAACGAGGAAGCACCGGCUAACUCCGUGCCAGCAGCCGCGGUAAUAC
rnacentral:rRNA from 1 species